UCAGAGUUUCCUUGCUUUUGAUGACUUUAAUACUUCUGCAGAGUGCUCACUAGGAAAUUUUUAGAAUGUACCUCAGUUUGAGUUUGAAGUUUGUCUGAAGUCUGUCUCUGAUUGAACAGGGUUUAUGGAUUUGGGGAAGAAAAUCCAGUGAGACAAAGUACCGUUCUUAUUGCAUUAUAUUGGAUACACACCAUCACUGUGACAUCACUACUGAUGCCGACUUUGACCACUGGCUAAGGUCACAUGUGUCAGGACUCUCAACAAGUUAGCCUUAUCUCCUCUAUUUCCACAGCUUACUCUUUAGAAGAAAGCCUCUGCACGCUGCGAAUUUAAGGAGUAGGUUGUUAUGCUCCAUCUCCUUGAGGAUAUAGUUAUAACCCAAUGUACGUUCAUCAUCUUGUGCUCAGACUGUCCGGCUUUGGCCACUAGAAGCUUUGCUACGGUGCCCCUUUGACAUGUCUCCACCAUUGACGGGGUGGCAGUUGGAACAGGGAUUUUUGUUGCUUCAGUCACCCUUAUGGAAAAGGAUCAAGUCCAACCUGCUUACUCAAUCUGGCCUCUGCUACCUUUGGGACUCAGCUGUUCUGCUUGUGGCUCCACUGACCCUGUCACUCACCAGCCCACCUGCUCCUCCCACCCAUUCAUCCCUGCCCUGAUCCAGGACUUUCUUCCUCCUGGGACCAUCCUCUCUGCUCCUCUUAGAAGCCAGGCCAGGUAAGUUUCCCAGAGUGAAAGGAAGUUGGAAUAUAUGAGAACUCGCUCAAGGAAGAAUUCUCGUAGCUGGCCAGCAAGAAAGCAUCCUGUACCACUAAGACCAGCUUACUUAGCAUUUGACUAGAUGUGAGUAUUUGUGGGAAUUCCCUGGUAGCUCAG